CUCACCUUAGCUCAGAUGGAAGAGCGCGACGCUACGAACGUCGAGGCCGCAGGUUCGACUCCUGCAGGUGGGUCCA
rnacentral:tRNA from 1 species